CUAAGGUAGCGAAAUUCCUUGUCGGGUAAGUUCCGACCUGCACGAAUGGCGUAACGAUGGCCACACUGUCUCCUCCUGAGACUCAGCGAAGUUGAAAUGUUUGUGAUGAUGCAAUCUCCCCGCGGAAAGACGGAAAGACCCCAUGAACCUUUACUGUAGCUUUGUAUUGGACUUUGAACAGAUCUGUGUAGGAUAGGUGGGAGGCUUUGAAGUGAGGACGCUAGUUCUCAUGGAGCCAACGUUGAAAUACCACCCUGGUGUGUUUGAGGUUCUAACCUAGGUCCAUUAUCUGGAUCGGGGACAGUGCAUGGUAGGCAGUUUGACUGGGGCGGUCUCCUCCCAAAGCGUAACGGAGGAGUUCGAAGGUACGCUAGUUACGGUCGGACAUCGUGACGAUAGUGCAAUGGCAUAAGCGUGCUUAACUGCGAGACUGACAAGUCGAGCAGAUGCGAAAGCAGGACAUAGUGAUCCGGUGGUUCUGUAUGGAAGGGCCAUCGCUCAACGGAUAAAAGGUACUCUGGGGAUAACAGGCUGAUACCGCCCAAGAGUUCAUAUCGACGGCGGUGUUUGGCACCUCGAUGUCGGCUCAUCUCAUCCUGGGGCUGUAGCCGGUCCCAAGGGUAUGGCUGUUCGCCAUUUAAAGAGGUACGUGAGCUGGGUUUAAAACGUCGUGAGACAGUUUGGUCCCUAUCUUCCGUGGGCGCUGCAGAUUUGAGGAAGCCUGCUCCUAGUACGAGAGGACCGGAGUGGACACACCUCUGGUGUAUCGGUUGUCACGCCAGUGGCAUUGCCGAGUAGCUAAGUGUGGAAGAGAUAACCGCUGAAAGCAUCUAAGCGGGAAACUCGUCUCAAGAUGAGUCUUGCCGGGGCCUUGAGCCCCCUGAAGAGUCGUUCGAGACCAGGACGUUGAUAGGCUGGGUGUGGAAGCGCAGUAAUGCGUUAAGCUAACCAGUACUAAUUGCCCGUGAGGCUUGAGCCC
rnacentral:rRNA from 1 species